UGUGCCUUUUUAUUGCGGGUCAAUUCCGUUUACAGCUCAAACACCAACACGAGGCCAAACAGUAACUGCUAGGAGGUUGAAAGGGUUUUUUGUUGUUUAUUUGGAGGUAGGGGGGUGAAAUAAAAAGCAAUAAAAUAUUCAGGGAGCGGAAGAGAACCGGGGUGAAUAAAUAACUUUUAAGUCCCCCUCACAAUUUACGACCUUUCUAACAAGUUUGUCCCAUCAGCAAGCACACAAACAAACUCAGUUGUUGUUGGCAAAGCUGCUGAAAUAAACUGUCUCUCUGCUUCCACUUCUACUGACACAAACUGGGAUUAAGCUUUGGUCUAAAAUGGAUUAAUUUUAACGAGCGUUAAGGCAGGACGCUCCGUUUCCUCUCCGCUUUGUGGGAACGGGAAGCAGCAGCAUUGUGUUGGAGCUGACUGUGGUUUAAUCAUUAAUGAGCACUAACAGUCGGGGCAGGACAGGCAUGGCCUACAGCCUACAUGGCUGCCUGGGACACACACACAGGACGGUGUGUUGCAGACAGUUUGGAGAGAAGCGGCAAACGGCACCAAACGGCACGAGGACAGGAAGACUCGGUGUCGGAAGCGGAGACUGGACACUACAGAUGGGAGACGGUCCCUGUCCGGUUGGAAGCAGCAGUUAUAGUAGGCUAUAUGAGAGAGAGCAUGAAGGAGAGAAACACCAAAUGGCUAACAGAAAAGACAUCACGUCACCUUAAAGGGAGACAGUCACGCAUGCUCCCACGCGCCAAAACCUGUCAAUGCGUGGUGUUUAUCUACUUUUUAUUUGCUGUUUCCUCCAACAGCUAUAGAGU